UCUUCAGUAGCUCAGGGGUAGAGCGGAUGGCUGUUAACCAUUAGGUCGUUGGUUCAAAUCCAACUUGGAGAG
rnacentral:tRNA from 1 species